rnacentral:rRNA from 1 species
GAUGAACGCUGGCGGCGUGCCUAAUACAUGCAAGUCGAGCGAACAGACGAGGAGCUUGCUCCUCUGGCGUUAGCGGCGGACGGGUGAGUAACACGUGGAUAACCUACCUAUAAGACUGGGAUAACUUCGGGAAACCGGAGCUAAUACCGGAUAAUAUGUUGAAUCGCAUGGUUCAACAGUGAAAGACGGUCUUGCUGUCACUUAUAGAUGGAUCCGCGCCGCAUUAGCUAGUUGGUAAGGUAACGGCUUACCAAGGCAACGAUGCGUAGCCGACCUGAGAGGGUGAUCGGCCACACUGGAACUGAGACACGGUCCAGACUCCUACGGGAGGCAGCAGUAGGGAAUCUUCCGCAAUGGGCGAAAGCCUGACGGAGCAACGCCGCAUGAGUGAAGAAGGUCUUCGGAUCGUAAAACUCUGUUAUUAGGGAAGAACAAAUGUGUAAGUAACUAUGCACGUCUUGACGGUACCUAAUCAGAAAGCCACGGCUAACUACGUG